GAAGGAAGAUGUAUGAAUGUAUAUAUAUACAACCCCAGUUCAAACAUAUCUUUGCCCAAGUGAAUACACAAGUUGCUAUAAAGUUACACAGAAGCCAGUCUCAAUAUUCAUUAUGCCUAAGUCAGAAAAACAGGAUAACAAGCCUCCUCCAGGAUACCCAACUGAGACACAGACACCUGCCACCGGAAAGAAAUGCUGCCCUACUACCAAGAAGAAAGGAGACACGGCCUUCAUCGAGGGAUGCCUCUUUGCUCUAUGCUGCUGCUGGCUUUGCGAAGCAUGCUUCUGAAUUAUGCGCUUGUGAUUCUAAGUAGCAUAACCUGUGUAUUCGAUUAUUCUAGUUUUAUGUAUUUGCUUAUAUAUUUCUAAUAAAAAGCUAAUUAGUAGAGCAAAAAUGCCUAGUAAAAUAA